UUCGAGGCAGGCGUUGAUGCUGCGGCCGCUUCGCACUGUGGCUCCUGCCGACCGCCAGGCGCUGCUACAGUGGAUGCGAACUACCCGUAAGUAUGCAGCAGCAGCCGGAACCCACAGUUCACCUUGGUGCGUUCCUUUAUGAUGAAGACUUAUUGAUUCAUUAUAUGAGAAAGGAAAAAUGAGCAGAAACUACUGUAUGAUGUGCAGCUCACACCAGACAGCACCUUUAGGGUUAUCUUUCCAGUUCAGCAGUGCAACUCUAUGGAGUAGAAUUGAAAGGAGACUUUCGCCAAUUGCAGGAAAUGGUCAUAAAAAAAUACCUGUUCACUGACAGAAUAAAGUCUCACUCUGUCACCUGGCUGGAGUUUAGUGGCACGAUCUUAGCUCCCUGCAACCUCUGCCUCCUGAGUUCAAGUGAUUCUCCUACCUCAGCCUCCUGAGUAGCUGGAAUUACAGAGUAAUUUAUCCCUACUUACAGAGAGAUUGCCCUACGUGUAACAGCUGCAUACAAAAAAGUUAUAAAAUUAUCAUUGGUUUAACAAGGAUAAAUGAAAAACAUU
rnacentral:sRNA from 1 species